rnacentral:rRNA from 1 species
AUUGAACGCUGGCGGCAGGCUUAACACAUGCAAGUCGAGCGAGCGGCGGACGGGUGAGUAAUGUCUGGGAAACUGCCUGAUGGAGGGGGAUAACUACUGGAAACGGUAGCUAAUACCGCAUACCAUACGAUGUGCCCAGAUGGGAUUAGCUAGUAGGUGGGGUAAUGGGUCACCUAGGCGACGCUCCCUAGCUGGUCUGAGAGGAUGACCAGCCGCACUGGAACUGUGACACGGUGCAGACUCCUACGGGAGGCAGCAGUGGGGAAAAUUGCGCAAUGGGCGCAAGCCUGAUGAAGCCAUGCCGCGGGUGUGAAGAAGGCCUUCGGGGUGUAAAGCACUUUCAGCGAGGAAGCGUUACGCGCAGAAGAAGCACCGGCUAACUACGUGCCAGCAGCCGCGGUAAUAC